rnacentral:rRNA from 1 species
AAUCAUUAGCCUCUUAAUUAGAGGCUAGAAUGAAUGGUUUAACAUUUCCUUAACUUUUUUAAAGAUUUUCAAAAAAUUUAUAUUAAAUAUAAAAAUAUAUUUAUAUCCUAAUUAGACGACAAGACCCUUUCAAACUUUACUGAAGUUUAGCUGGGGUAGCUUAAUAAUUAAUAUCUUAUUAUUUACAAUAAAAAUAGACCCAAUUCAAAUUGAUUAAAUGAACAAGUUACUGAAGGGAUAACAGCAUAAUAAAUUUAUAUAGCUCUUAUUUAAAAAUUAGUUUAUGACCUCGAUGUUGAAUUAUUUUACUUACACACGCAAGAGCGUGUAAAGUAGGUCUGUUCGACCUUUAAAUUUU